CGGCAUGUGAUGGAAUUGGCAUACGUGCUCGGCUAAGAACCGAGAUUUUGUGGGUUCGAAUCCCACCUUGCCGA
rnacentral:tRNA from 1 species